UACGUAGGGGGCAAGCGUUGUCCGGAUUUAUUGGGCGUAAAGAGCGUGUAGGCGGCUAGGUAGGUCCGUUGUGAAAACUCGAGGCUCAACCUCGAGACGUCGAUGGAAACCAUCUAGCUAGAGUCCGGAAGAGGAGAGUGGAAUUCUCGGUGUAGCAGUGAAAUGCGUAGAUAUCGAGAGGAACACCAGUGGCGAAGGCGAGUCUCUGGACGACUCCUGACACUGAGGCACGAAAGCUAGGGGAGCAAACAGG
rnacentral:rRNA from 1 species